GCAUAUCUUCCAAUGUUUGUAUAGUCCGUUCGCUCUGGCCGUAUAUCUGAGGAUGAAAUGUCGUGCUUAGAUCUAGUUGAGAUCCAAAGGCUUCCUGAAAUGAUUGCCAGAUCCUUGAGACAAAGCGUCCAUCUCUGUCUGAAAUAAUAGAAAUAGGCACUCCAUGACGUGUCACAAUUUCUUUCAGGUAUAUUUCAGCAAGCUUUCCAGUGUUAUCCUUCUCACGGAUUGGUAG
rnacentral:lncRNA from 1 species